rnacentral:rRNA from 1 species
AUACGGAGGAUGCGAGCGUUAUCCGGAUUUAUUGGGUUUAAAGGGUGCGCAGGCGGGCGAUUAAGUCAGCGGUGAAAGGCUCGGGCUCAACCGGAGCAGUGCCGUUGAUACUGGUUGUCUUGAAUGCGGUCAAGGCCGGCGGAAUGUGGCGUGUAGCGGGGAAAUGCAUAGAUAUGCCGCAGAACACCAAUAGCGAAGGCAGCUGGCCUGGCCUUCGAGGACGCUGAGGCACGAAAGCGUGGGGAUCGAACAGGAUUAGAUACCCUGGUAGACCACGCUGUAAACGAUGGACACUCGUUGUCGGCGACAGACAGUCGGCGGCCAAGCGAAAGUGAUAAGUGUCCCACCUGGGGAGUACGGUCGCAAGGCUGAAACUCAAAUGAAUUGACGGGG